UGGCACCACGGUUCACGGCUGCCCCGGACUCCGAGCGUCCAUCUGCUGGGUCUCCAGCCUCCGACGAGCCUCCUACCCCUCACUCUCCGCGUGUAUCCCCUGCUUCUCCCAUUCGACAGGGUUCUUUUGAAGGAUCACCUCUUCUUCAGGGAAACUACUGAUACCAUAGGUGUAACAAUAAAGUUGCACGGCAUGUGAUUUUUGGCCUUCCGCCCUGGCGCCACCUCCCCUUCGCUGAGCGCGGCGUCUGCGGCAGUGGAAGGAGGAUGAUGAAGGGAACGGGGCUUGCCAUAGAGCCGACGCAGCAAAGGUCAUUGCCUCUCACUUGGUGUUCUCCACCAAAUUCGUCGGCAAGGGCGCUCAGAUCUGCAGGUUGAAUCCUUCUUCCUUCAUGUCUAUGUGGUUGGCAUUCAUGGUGCCUUUUUUUUCCAUUGCUUUUUUUGCUGUCGAGGAUCCAGGUCCAGGUCCAGGAGUAUUGUAGACUUCAGAAAAUAGAAUUUUGUUGCGUUGCUAGGUUUGUUAGGUACCUUCUGGUUUUGUAGGUUUGUUGUGUUGCUAGGUUUGCUAGGUACCCUCCUGUUUGUUUAUGGGUCUCAUUGGUGAGAUUGUCCUGCCCUUUGUCUUAUCUCGCAAAGUUCAUGGAAAGAUGGAUCUGCUUCUAAGCUUCUAAGAUACAGACCUUUUUUUUUGGAUGUUUCCUAAUGUGCUUAUCUGGUCAACAUAGAACACUUUUUUUGUAUGCCUCCCAAAUUCUUACAGCAGAAGGAUUCCUUGUCCAAGCACUAACCUAGCUUUCCAAUAUUAUGGAUAACAACAAAUAUCCAUCAUGUAAUUGCCCCUGUUAAUCUUAAUCCAUGUGUAAUUAGAACUUAUAUGAAGAUUGUGUUAUCAAGUCAGAAGUUAGGCCUGUACUCGUGUUUUUUAGUAAAGGGGAAAACUUUAUCCUCAAAUUUGUAUCACAGACCUGAAACAUUCAAUGAAAUCUCUGAAUUACAUUUUUUUUUUCUCGAACACAUGCCUAAGCAUGCACAAUUGUAUGUUAGAAGAAGCCGUCGAGAAGAUGGGAGCAUUACAUGGAGGUAGCAGAGCUACAAAAGAAGUUCAAAGAAUAGGAAAAAACUAUACAAGGCUAACUUUGUUAGGCCUGCAGAUCCUGGAGUGUUGUGUCAGCGGGAGGUCUAGCAUGUAAGGGAAGCCGGCGUAGUGCCCUGGCACCAGCCAACAUCCACAAUUUGGCUUCCUCAAGGAUUGACAGAACCAAGUUAUGCCUGCUUGGUGUUAUGUUUUUGAAGAUUGCAUAGUGAUCGUUGGUGAAAUUUCUAAUUUUGCUGCUUAUGCAUUUGCUCCUGCUAUUCUUGUAACUCACCUUGAAACACUCAGUAUAAUCAUCAGGUACAGUCAUAACAAUUCUGUAGAAAACUAUUAAUAAUGUGUUUUAGCUUGCUUCUGAUUAAACUGCAAUCACAGUCCAUUCUAAAUGUCUGAAGUACUGCACUACCCAUUUCAUUCUACAGGAGAAACUGCACACCUUUGGUAUACCUGGGUGUUUUCUUUGUGUACUUGGAUUGAUCACAAUUGACUCCAUGCUCCACUGGAGCGUGAUAUUGAUUCCGCAAGGGAAGUUUGGGAUCUUGCAACUGAGCCAGCUUUUGUUUCAUAUGUGGCUAUAGUAGUGGCAGCAGCAUUGGUGCUUAUAUAUUUUGUUGUCUCUCAACAUGGGCAAACAAACAUCAUGGUGUACGUCAGAGUCUGUUCUCUUCUAGGACCACUCACCAUAUGCUUUUCCCCAAAUAUGGCUUGGCUCUAGCAUAAAUCAUCUUGAUAAUUCUGUAUGGGGUUUUCAUUUAACCCCAUUGUCCAUGUGACAGUGAGGAUCUAACAGGAUAUGAGUGUAAAUGCUCUCAACAAUAUGCUUAUCUCUUUUUGUUUGUUUGAAUAUGUGGCUUGAAAAGGAGUACAUGAAAUUUGUAGCUUGAAAAGGAGUACAUUGUCCAAGAGACAGCCCUGGUUAAGCUUACGUCUCAGAAGAAGAUAGAUGAUGCUCAAUCUCUUGAGGCUAAUUUGGAGAACUCCUUGGAAGUCGAGGGAAGCUCUGUCACAGCAACAUUAAUAAAAAUAGGAAAAUCUAUCAUAGAUAGGUUAGAAAAGUUAAUUAUGUUAUUUUUUACUGAACAAAAAAAAUGCUGAUUCAACCAUGAUUUUUAGUGCCAAUGCUAACAUGAACUACGUGAAUUGCCAAAAAAAGGAGAUUCAAUCUAGAAGGAUAAAAUAGAUGCAUAUGCUUAUUUUCUUUGUGUGUUUACGGACAUCUAAUUUCAUAUUAUUGACCAUUACUAAUACUGCUCACAUUUCUAUUUGUUCUGCAUUAGUAGCAUUUUGAUGGCUUCUUUUCGUGUAACAGAUAUACCAGAAAAAGCAAGCCGGUUAGAAUAUUUGUCCAUCAAACGAUUCAAGGUAUCUUACACUAUUUUCUUCCUAGAAUUGGGUGCUGCUGAAGUGCUCACUUCAUGCAUGUUUCAGUGAUUCAUUUGUCCAGUUUGAAGUUUACCAAUAAGAAUUGAUAGCAAAAUCAUUCUUGGAGCAAAGCAAUUUCUUGGGUUACAGUAUUUCUUAGUAUUAGUUUGAGGGCACAUGCAGAUACAGGCUAUGCAGUCCUGCAGCAAUGUUUUACAGUUGCAGGCUCGCGUGGGCUGUGCCCGAGCAGAUCCCGUAAACUGAAACCUUAAAACAGAACGGAUGGGCAGAUCCCGUAAACUGAAACCGUAAAACAGAAUGGCCGCAGCCCGCACGAUCCUGUAAAUUGCGUUUUCGCGGUCUGUAAACGAGUUUUUAAGGGCUCUAAGAUCUUGCGGAAUGACGUUUCUUUUGUUCCUGUCUCGAGCUCUAUAGAUUUGGUUGAAAUCAUUGAGGGCUAGCCGCUUCUCUCCGGUUGCAGGCUUUUGGGUGAGGAAGCUCGGCAUAAAAAAAUCAUAUUUUCUGAGUAGGCAGUUGGUCCGUAGACCGAAGUGAUCUUGAAAGUCUCCUGUGUGCGCCGGAUUAGAAUUGUGGCGGAGAGACAAAACUCGGAGGUGAUAAUAUCGGAAACUUGCAUGGCCUCGCCAUCCCACAACAUAAGGACACCUCUCUAGUGCCCAUUGCCGUCCGCUAAGCGAAGUUCUUUAGCCAGAGGCCUCCAAAUUAGCACGCAGUGUAUUUAUCCAUGUUGUCUGACUUGGUUUAUUGAACACAUACAACAUGGCAAGAAGCUGCAAUUG